UACGGAGGGGCUAGCGUUGUUCGGAAUUACUGGGCGUAAAGCGCACGUAGGCGGACAUUUAAGUCAGGGUGAAAUCCCGGAGCUCAACUCCGGAACUGCCUUUGAUACUGGGUGUCUUGAGUGUGGAAGAGGUGAGUGGAAUUCCGAGUGUAGAGGUGAAAUUCGUAGAUAUUCGGAGGAACACCAGUGGCGAAGGCGGCUCACUGGUCCAUUACUGACGCUGAGGUGCGAAAGCGUGGGGAGCAAACAGG
rnacentral:rRNA from 1 species